ensembl:lncRNA
GGAGCAUGUGCAUGAGGGCAAGAAAGAAACAGAGACAGAUACAGGGGAAGAACUGGGAGGCAGCAAAACAGAGAGAAAUUGAAGCUCAAGUUGCUAGUACUCCUGGGGAAGGAACAAUGACAACAUCAGAUUAUCUUAAAACCAGAAGGAAAUGAGGGAAGAAACACAGUGAUCCGGAGCUGAAGCGCAGCCACGAGGAGCCAGAAAACGGAGGAGGGUGACUGUUCUGCUGAAGAGUGUACCUUCUAAUUCAGAAAACUUAGUCACCAGACUGAGAACAGAUAACAAGAGUAGGAGGAAGGACUGGGGAGUGUGGGGAAACGUUUCACAAAGCUCUGAAAUCCGCAGCAUGCAGAGCAAGCUCUUGACAAACUCGCAGCUUUCUGGAACCUUCGGAAAAUGAAAAUCCAACUCAUAGGAUAAAGCAAAUAGCCCCACUGGUUAUUUCACAGCACAUAUCUAACUAACACCCAUCAAAGCUCUGAACAGUGGAGAUGGUUCUAAAAGCAUCAUCUACCCCUAGGCAAGAUUAUAUUCAGUCCUCGAAUAAUCUAUAAAAUGUGGCUCCAUUUUGAAAAUCACCAUUUUGUGCCUAAAUGGCAUAAUGGAUAAAAAAUUGGCUCCACUAUUUCACUCAAUCUAAGGUCCCCACUCCAGUACUCUUGCCUGAAAAAUCCCAUGGAUGGUGGAGCCUGGUAGGCUGCAGUCCAUGGGGUCACUAAGAGUUGGACACGAUUGAGCGACUUCACUUUCAACUUUCACUUUCAUGCAUUGGAGAAGGAAAUGGCAACUCACUCCAGUGUUCUUGCCUGGAGAAUCCCAGGGACGGGGGAGCCUGGUGGGCUGCCGUCUAUGGGGUCGCACAGAGUUGGACAAGACUGAAGCAACUUAGCAGCAGCAGCAAAGUCCCUUAGGAGCUUCCUAGAUGUCUCAGUGGUAAAGAAUCCGCCUGCCAAUGCAGGAGAUGCAGGUUGGAUCCCCUGGAGAAGGAAAUGGCAACCCAUUCCAGUAUUCUUGCCAGGAAAAUCUAUAGGACAGAGGAGCCUGGUGGGCUACAGUCCAUGGGUUUGCAAAAGAGCUGGACACAACUUGGAUGAAACAACAACAAGGUCUCUUGGAACUCUAAGCACAAGUUUAAGAAAAAUUACCACUUUAAAAAUGGCUCUACAGGGGACGAGCAAACACAGAAACUGAUGUGGAUGCUCAUGUCACCUGUCAGCACUGGGUUAUAAGCACUCAGAUGAGUCAGUUCUUAUUUUAACUUUAUACUUUUUCAUCGGAAUGAAAACAAUUUUAAAAAUGUUUAUCAAGAAAUGAAUAGGCCCCAGAGAAGAACCCUUCCAGAUCUGUGGACCACAGUUUUAGGUAGGGGAAGCCAUGUUUGAGGCUGAGAGGCAAUGUGAUUUGACCAUUUUGUUACAGGGAAGAGCAAAAUUUGACUACAUAUUGGAUCCUAUUUUUUUUUCCCAUUUAAACUUUGCUUCUUAUUGCUUUUGUUCACUAAGAGGAUACGGUCCAUACAUAAUGGCCUGCCUCGGGGAACCCUGCCCCUCUGCCUGAAUGCUAAACCAAAAUGCCUUUAGUCAGGGAGAUGUCCUGACCCUGUCCACCUGUGAAAGGCUGCAAGAAAGAAAUUACCAUAUCAGCUUCCUGAAGCUAACCAUCCCGGUAGAUAUUUGCAAGACGUACGAACUUCCUCACCUCCUCCCCAUCUCUAUUCUAUAAAAGAAUCUAGAAUUAUAUAAAAGAAUCUAUCCAGACCCCAACAAGAUGGUUAUUUUGAAACAUUUUCUGCCAUCUUCUCCGUCUGCUGGUUUUCUGAAUAAAAAACACCUGGUCUCCUGACUUACUGGCCUGUCCUGCAGUGAGCAGAGUAAGCUCUGACUUGGUAACAGUUCCUUCCUUGCUCUGUGGAGUGUAAAUGGAUGGGUGAGAUAGGAAACCACAUCUUUAGUAGCAACUGAAAUAGCUGAGCAGAAGGUUUCAAGGAUCCCAACCAAGACUCUGUUCUUGGAGACAAGCUUCUGCACACAACUGAUUCAACAAAACUCUCUAGAAGGAACACUUAGUCCCAUGUCAAGUAGGAUUUGCCAUUAGAAGCCUUGGACACUCUUCUGAAUUCUGCUAACUGGAAACUGGAAGCUAUGGAGUAAGCAGCUUGGCUUUCAGAAGACAUGGCCAUUUAUGGCUGUCACCGCCUAACAGGGCCACCUGCACAGCCACCCUGAUUGCCCACACACAUUUGAGUCUGUUCAAAGACACAGAAGGAAUUUUCAUACAAAAGAAUCUUCUGGCCUUAGCAGUAAUUGAGUCAGACUGUGAUGGAAGAUCGACACAUUUAUAUUAUCGUCACACAGAGGUUUGAUUUUUCUACUGGCACAAAGUAUUCUGAAAAAGAAUGGAAAAUUACCCCUGUUUACUUCAAAGAGCAAGGCUGACUUCCUCGAAAUCUGUAGCCCUUCGGUGUUGCUCAGGGCAACUGAUUUAAUUCAAAGACAGCCUGUCUGUGAUUGACAGCUUAAGAAAAGUCAGGUUUAUUUGUGAGAGAUUUGUGAUCAGAUUAUAGUAGGGAUGUAGAAAGAUAUCAAGCAGUUAGGAAAACAAGAGCAGAUUUU